UCCAGACUCCUACGGGAGGCAGCAGUGGGGAAUAUUGCACAAUGGGGGAAACCCUGAUGCAGCGACGCCGCGUGAGUGAAGAAGUAUUUCGGUAUGUAAAGCUCUAUCAGCAGGGAAGAAAAAAGACGGUACCUGACUAAGAAGCCCCGGCUAACUACGUGCCAGCAGCCGCGGUAAUACGUAGGGGGCAAGCGUUAUCCGGAAUUACUGGGUGUAAAGGGUGCGUAGGUGGCAUGGUAAGUCAGAAGUGAAAGCCCGGGGCUUAACCCCGGGACUGCUUUUGAAACUGUCAUGCUGGAGUGCAGGAGAGGUAAGCGGAAUUCCUAGUGUAGCGGUGAAAUGCGUAGAUAUUAGGAGGAACACCAGUGGCGAAGGCGGCUUACUGGACUGUCACUGACACUGAUGCACGAAAGCGUGGGGAGCAAACAGGAUUAGAUACCCGCGUAA
rnacentral:rRNA from 1 species